UGUGGAUGUAGGUACCAGAACUGUUGAUCGACUGGGAUUUGAAUGGACAACCAUCUCUAGGGUUUACAGAGAAUGGUCC